rnacentral:miRNA from 14 species
UGUGUGUGUGUGUGUGUGUGUGUGUGUGUGCAACCUCAGAGCCGAGUGAUGAUCUCAGAGUGAACAGCAGCGUCAGCAUUUCUUCAAGCAGUUCAACCCACACACAAAAUACACACACACACCUGUCAGGACUGCCUGUACACAUCUUACACACACACACACACACACACACACACACACA